rnacentral:lncRNA from 1 species
GGUGGUCGGUGCUUCUCGCCGACACCGUGAGAGGGCUUUUGUUUGAUUGUUUUAGUUGGUAUCUUGCUUUGUUCUCAGUCUACGCCGGUAUCUUCUGUGAUGAUGCUUAGACGAUUGGAGUUGCGGAGUUGUCGCAAUUGGAUCUUUGGUGGCUGCGACGUUGGGUUUUGCAAGGAUUUGCGGUUUCUCCAGAGUUUAAAGGUUUUCUUUGGCUAGUGUGGCCGGAUGUUGGUGGAUCUGGCUCGUGGCGAGAGAGAGUAAGCGGUUGUUGGUGGAGGUUCUGUCUUCUUGGUUCUUUUGGGGCUGUGGGUUGUUUGGUUUUAUCGGGUGAGCUUUCGUUGGCUUUUCCUUGGUUGUGCUUGGUGUAGAUCUGUUAGUUUGUGUUGAAGGUUUAGAUGGUGUUUUUGGCUUGCGCAAUGGUGUAGUUAGGCUUGAUCUUGGUUCUAACUCUACGGGUUAUUGUACGGCUUUGCUGUGCUUUCCGGUUUUAGUGUCAUGCUUGCUCUAGCUCUCUGUUUUGGGUUCCUAGUUCUUCUUCGCCGAGUGCUACCUCUCGUUUGGGUGUGGUUUCUGGUGGGCUGGGUUCGUGUUUGAGGUUUGUCAAUCGGAUGGUACAUCGUUGCAGGUGCAUCUACUAGCUCUUCUCUAAAGCCUUCUUUGGUUUGUGUGGUUGGGUUCAAGGCGCAGCAGUGGUUUCGUUUACUAGUUCUUCUCUUGCGAGGUCGUGACCGGUUCAUGUCUGUAGGUGGCAUUGAUUGGUUUGCUUUGUCCGCGUGUAAGGGUUGGUGCUCCUCUUUGGCUUAUCCUCAGCCGUUUUCAAAGGUCCAUCUUUGUGCCUAGUUUCGUUCGAGCUCAUUAUCCUUCUGAAGUUGGCGUGAUGGUGCUUGUUGCUGUGCUCGCUUCUUAGCUUAUUCCUUCUCUCUGUUAUGUCGGGUUGUGGCUAGUUGAGCUCUCGGAUUAGUUCUUCUUCGGAUUCUCCGGUAGUUUGGAGAUUGUCUGUUUCUUUUCGAGGCUCUUGUUUCUUGGUCCAGCUCCGUCGCCA